rnacentral:rRNA from 1 species
GAUGAACGCUGGCGGCGUGCCUAAUACAUGCAAGUCGAGCGAACAGACGAGGAGCUUGCUCCUCUGACGUUAGCGGCGGACGGGUGAGUAACACGUGGAUAACCUACCUAUAAGACUGGGAUAACUUCGGGAAACCGGAGCUAAUACCGGAUAAUAUAUUGAACCGCAUGGUUCAAUAGUGAAAGACGGUUUUGCUGUCACUUAUAGAUGGAUCCGCGCCGCAUUAGCUAGUUGGUAAGGUAACGGCUUACCAAGGCGAGGAUGCGUAGCCGACCUGAGAGGGUGGUCGGCCACACUGGAACUGAGACACGGUCCAGACUCCUACGAGAGGCAGCAGUAGGGAAUCUUCCGCAGUGGGCGAAAGCCUGACAGAGCGACGCCGCGUGAGUGAUGAAGGUCUUCGGAUCGUAAAACUCUGUUAUUAGGGAAGAACAAAUGUGUAAGUAACUAUGCACGUCUUGACGGUACCUAAUCAGAAAGCCACGGCUAACUACGUG